CACGUAGGACGCAAGCGUUAUCCGGAAUUACUGGGCGUAAAGAGCGUGUAGGCGGUUCUGUAAGUCAACCGUGAAAGCUCCCGGCUAAACUGGGAGAGGUCGGAUGAGACUGCAGGGCUAGAGGGUCGUAGAGGAAUGUGGAAUUCCGGGUGUAGUGGUGAAAUGCGUAGAGAUCCGGAGGAACACCAGAGGCGAAGGCGGCAUUCUGGACGACAACUGACGCUGAGACGCGACAGCACGGGGAGCGAACGGGAUUAGAAACCCCGGUAGUCCGUGCCGUAAACGAUGUGUACUAGAUGUUCGGUUGACUACGGUUGAUUGAGCGUCGAAGCAAACGCGAUAAGUACACCGCCUGGGGAGUACGGUCGCAAGGCUAAA
rnacentral:rRNA from 1 species